rnacentral:rRNA from 1 species
UACGAAGGGGGCUAGCGUUGCUCGGAAUGACUGGGCGUAAAGGGCGCGUAGGCGGUUUGGACAGUCAGAUGUGAAAUUCCUGGGCUCAACCUGGGGGCUGCACUUGAUACGUUCGGACUAGAGUGGGGAAGAGGGUCGUGGAAUUCCCAGUGUAGAGGUGAAAUUCGUAGAUAUUGGGAAGAACACCGGUGGCGAAGGCGGCGACCUGGUCCUUGACUGACGCUGAGGCGCGAAAGCGUGGGGAGCGAACAGG